UACGAAGGGUGCAAACGUUGCUCGGAAUUAUUGGGCGUAAAGCGCACGUAGGCGGCUUUGCAAGUCCCAUGUGAAAUCCCACGGCUCAACCGUGGAAGUGCAUGGGAAACUGCAGAGCUUGAGUACUUAAGAGGAUCGCGGAAUUCCCGGUGUAGAGGUGGAAUUCGUAGAUAUCGGGAGGAACACCAGUGGCGAAGGCGGCGAUCUGGGCCAAUAUUGACGCUGAGGUGCGAAAGCGUGGGGAGCAAACAGG
rnacentral:rRNA from 1 species